UACGUAGGUGGCAAGCGUUGUCCGGAUUUACUGGGCGUAAAGAGCGCGCAGGCGGCUGGUCAAGUCCGAUGUGAAAUCUCCCGGCUUAACUGGGAAACUGCAUCGGAAACUGAUCGGCUUGAAGGUGGGAGAGGGUAGUGGAAUUCCCGGUGUAGUGGUGAAAUGCGUAGAGAUCGGCAGGAACACCCAGGGGGAAACCAGCCGACUGGGCAUCUACUGACGCUGAGGUGCGAGAGCGUGGGGAGCGAACCGG
rnacentral:rRNA from 1 species